CAGGGAUGGGGCACCACAAUUUCUCCAGGCAGCUGUGCCUGCACCUCACUGCCCUCUCUGAAAAAUUUCUGUCUGACAUCUAAACUAAAUCUCCCCUCUUUUAAUUUAAAAGCAUUCUCUCUUGUCCUAUCACUAUCAGACUGUGUAAAAAGUUUUUUUCCUUCCUGUAAUGAAACCUUAGCGUACUGGGAAAUCUCCCCAGAGUUGCUCAUCUCCAGAUUAAACAGUCCCAGCUCCCUCAGCGUGUCUUCACAAGAGAGGUUCUCUGAACAUCUUUGUGCCCUUGUUUGGACCUGUCCCAACAGCUUCACAUCCCUCCAGUACCGAGGUCCCCAGGCCUGGAUGCAGUACUCUGGAUGGGUCAAAGCAGAGAGGGACAAUCCCCCUACUCUCCUUGCUUCCCACUCCUCUUGUGACGCAGCCCACAAGACCCAGUGCAUUCUGGGCUGAGAGCACACACUGCUAGCUCGUGUUCAGCUUUUUGUCCACCAGAAUCCCCAAAUCCUUUUCUGUGGGGCUGCUCUCAAUGAGUUCUUCUCCCAGUCUGUAUAUAUAUCUGGGAUUGCCCAACCAAAGGGCAACACCUUGCACUUGGCCUUGUUGACCCCCUUUGCGGGUCUCUUACUAAGUAUAGGCCACAGAGGCAUGCAGGAAUGCUGGGGGAAAAACACAAGUGCGUCCCCCCCCUCCUGUUCUGAAGUAAUCUGUAUGUUUGCACAGAGGAGUGCUGGAAGCAGCUGGUGGGUAUGGGCUUGUGCCCAGCUUGCUCAAAGUGUAGACACAAGAUUUGUGCUGCAUCAGCACACUGGAGGAGAAUCAAACCAAAAUUGUUUGAUCCUCCAAGUUGCUAACUAUGAGGCAGGGUAGGAUAUUGCAAGUUGUACCAGCCACUGUAGGAAAGUGCAAAUAGUUUGCUUUAGUAAUCCCUGUAAUCCCCUAUAAAUAAUGCCCUCACCUAUAUUGAUGAAAAAAUUACAUAACAGCUACACCCAGCCAAAGGGAAAAAAUAAACAAAAAAUCAUCCAAUACACUCAUGAUGCUGGUCAGAUUCAUCUGAGCCGCAUUAGCAGGGCUUAGUACUGCAGCCAGAGAAAGGAGGACUGCCAUCCGGAAGGAAUAUCUGUGUAAUCUUAGGCUCAAAAAGUAGUUUUCAAAAAACUCCAGACCCUGACUCUUUGUUUAUUAUGCAGGAUGCAGGCUGAGAUGGAAGGUGGGGGAUCGGUAUGCUGGAUCGCAUUCAAGCCGCUCGUUCAUAGGGAUUUUCCCCUGUGGCCUCCAAGUCAGCAGUGGUUGCACAAGCCGUGAUGAGGUAGCUCUUCCAUCUGCAUUUAGACAAGCUUCACAUCAUCAUCUGGUAAGAGAGUGGAAGAUGCAUGAAGUGGAAUGCAUAAGUCCAUACAUUCCAAGAGCCUUUCCCUGGAGUUUCAGUAGGAGCAAAAUAUCUCAUUUAAGAAGAGGAAAAAGAAGAGAAUAUUUGGAAGUAAAAUAAAAGAUACAAAGCUUGGACUAAGGAAAAUUUGACAUUUCUCAAGGAAACAAAAAAAAAAAGGAAAGACAUGAAGGAAAAUAAUGAAAUACUUUGACAAAGCACUUAACUAGAACUACCAAGAAAAUUCAGGAGAUUCUGAGGAAAUAAAGAAAUUAUA